rnacentral:rRNA from 1 species
AACGAACGCUGGCGGCGCGCUUAAGCAUGCAAGUCGGACGGCAAGGCGGGAAGCUUGCUCCUGCCCUAGAGUGGCGGACUGGUGAGUAACACGUGGGUGACAUACCCUCUGGUUGGGGAUAGCCGGUAGAAAUACCGGAUAAUACCGAAUACGAACGCACAGGGUUAGAGUGGUGCGAGGAAAGGAGCUACGGCUUCGCCGGAGGAUUGGCCCGCGUCUGAUUAGCUAGUUGGUGGGGGUAACGGCCUACCAAGGCGACGAUCAGUAGCCGGCCUGAGAGGGUGACCGGCCACAUUGGGACUGAGACACGGGCCCAAACUCCUACGGGAGGCAGCAGUGGGGAAUAUUGCACAAUGGGGGAAACCCUGAUGCAGCAACGCCGCGUGAGUGAAGAAGUAUUUCGGUAUGUAAAGCUCUAUCAGCAGGGAAGAAAAAGACGGUACCUGACUAAGAAGCACCGGCUAAAUACGUG